UGACAUAUAGCUAUGUCUUUCUCCCUUG
rnacentral:piRNA from 1 species